AAUGAGGUAUAUAGAAAUAAACGAUUAUCAAUCAAUCAAUCUUUUUUUCCACUGUCAGCAAAAUUCGAGGAUUUAAUCCCCAAAAAGAUGGAACAAUAUCAAUCUCAGGAAAUAAUUUUUUUGGAGUCUAUUCCAAUAAAUCAGAAAGUGAAGAUUAACGGGGAUUGGAGAACUGCCAAGAACUUUCUGGAAAAUAGUAUAGGUGGAUUAGGGAAAACCCGGAUAUCUAAGAAUAUACAUACAGGAUGUUUUAAAGGUUUCAGACGAUAUGUAUAUAGUCAAGGCACUGAUGAUAUGUAAAAUUUUAAAAUAAAGGUUACAAAAAGUGCAGUAUUUUUUAUUGGGGGGGGGGGGGGUUAAAAACUAUGAGCGAUGAAAAUUGCAAUUUGAUUGUUAGUUUAUUUUAAAACAUUGUAUAAUGAAAUGAAAUUUUUUUACCAAUAUUUGUUAAAUUUGUUGAAGGAUUAUUAAUAAUGAAGUUCAAUUAAAGGGAGUGACCGGCAAUGCAUGUUAGUUGAACUGAGAGUGUAGUAUUGUGGAAAAAU